rnacentral:rRNA from 1 species
GGGUCAGGAGGUUGGUCGUGCCACCGGUACGUACUGGUCUCACUGACUCCUCCUUCCUGAGGAACCGUAAUGCCAUUAAUUUGGUGUUGCGGGGAAACAGGACUGUUGCUUUGAAAAAAUUAGAGUGUUUAAAGCAAGCUAACGCUUGAAUACAUUAGCAUGGAAUAAUGAAAUAGGACGAUCGAUCCUAUUUUGUUGGUUUCUAGGAUUGACGUA